rnacentral:rRNA from 1 species
AGAACGAACGCUGGCGGCAGGCUUAACACAUGCAAGUCGAGCGCCCCGCAAGGGGAGCGGCAGACGGGUGAGUAACGCGUGGGAACAUACCCUCCGGUUCGGAAUAGCUCAGGGAAACUUGGAUUAAUACCGGAUACGGCCUAGCGGCGAAAGAUUCAUCGCCGGAGGAUUGGCCCGCGUUCGAUUAGCUAGUUGGUGAGGUAACGGCUCACCAAGGCGGCGAUCGAUAGCUGGUCUGAGAGGAUGAUCAGCCACAUUGGGACUGAGACACGGCCCAAACUCCUACGGGAGGCAGCAGUGGGGAAUAUUGGACAAUGGGCGCAAGCCUGAUCCAGCCAUGCCGCGUGAGUGAUGACGGCCUUAGGGUUGUAAAGCUCUUUCGCUAGGGACGAUAAUGACGGUACCUAGACAAGAAGCCCGGCUAACUUCGCGCCAGCAGCCGC